UACGUAGGGGGCAAGCGUUGUCCGGAUUUAUUGGGCGUAAAGAGCGUGUAGGCGGCCUGACAGGUCUGCUGUGAAAACUCGAGGCUCAACCUCGAGAUGUCGGCGGAAACCGUCUGGCUAGAGUCCGGAAGAGGAGAGUGGAAUUCCUGGUGUAGCGGUGAAAUGCGUAGAUAUCUGGAGGAACACCGGUGGCGAAGGCGGCAUCCUGGACCGGCAUUGACGCUGAGGCGCGAAAGCUAGGGGAGCAAACAGG
rnacentral:rRNA from 1 species